rnacentral:tRNA from 1 species
GGGGAACCUGCGGCUGGAUCACCUCCUUUCUAAGGAUGAUCCUUCAGAUCAGCUCAUGCUGUUCUAUCGGAUCGUUUUAGAAACAUCAGGGGCCGACGAUCGCCAGAUCGUUGAGCUCCAUUGGCGGGAUUUCGCCGUCUUCGUUUCUCUUUCUUCGCGGACGAACACGCGCCAGGGGCUGCGCUUGUGCGAUGCAUCCGGCGCAAGCCGAUGCGUGCGAGCAAGUUCCCUCGUGUUAGGGGCUUGUAGCUCAGUUGGUUAGAGCGCGCGCUUGAUAAGCGUGAGGUCGGAAGUUCAAGUCUUCCCAGGCCCACCACUUUGAUCGAGCGCAUGCGUCUCAUGAUCCAGCGAGUAUAGCAUUCGUCUUCUGGUACGGGGCCAUAGCUCAGCUGGGAGAGCGCGUGCUUUGCAAGCAUGAGGUCGUCGGUUCGAUCCCGUCUGGCUCCACCAGGCUUCGCUCGCGAAGCGGGUGAAGCCUGCCACGGCGAAGCCCGGGCUGUAGCGCGAGCUACGCCUCGGCAAGCCGGCUGGAGCACGAACCAAAUACAUCGUCCGCGAAAACAUCACUUCGCACGCGUUGUCCUUACGGACACGCUUGCGGGAUUUCUGACAUCGUAAAGAGGAGAUCGAUCCGGGUUUGGGAUCUGCGAAGCAAUUCGCACGUCACAAUCACUAUCUCCGGGACGUUUCGGCGCUCGUUCAUCGCAAGAUGAGCGAGUUGUAAAUGUCCUUGUUGGUGAAGCUUGACCGCCUCAUCAUCGGGUUGAUCUUACGAAGCAAGCUGGUCUUUCUAAUCAGUGUCCAGCCGCAUGCAGCAUUCAUCGAGGGUGCGCGCCUUUGAGAUUCCGAUCUUGAGGCAAGUGUGCGGACUACAUUCUGCCGAGUGUGUGGACAUUGAUAAUGAGAGCAAUCAAGUGCCUUAAGGGUGUUC